GAAUAGGUAGGGGAGCGUUCUCUUAUCGGGUGAAGUUUUCACGGAAGUGAGGAUGGACGAAUGAGAAGCGAUAUUGUAGAUUUGAGUAACGAAUACAUUGGUGAGAAUCCAAUGCCCCGAAAACCUAAGGGUUCCUCCACUAGGUUCGUCCAUGGGGGGUGAGUCAGGUCCUAAGGCUAGUUCGAUAAAUCGAAGUCGUCGAUGGGAAACAGGUUAAUAUUCCUGUACUGAUUUUAUUGGGAACCAAGUGACGAAGGAGACUAAACAGAAACUGCUACUGGAUUUCAGUGGAAGCAUUAAGGUGUUGAGAGCUAGAACAAAAACUAUGCUUGAGCUGAGAUGUGAUCCCUCUUUUAUGGUGAUUUAUGCUUUCGGGUAUGAUUCCACCAUAUUGGAGUCUGUGAUGUCAAACUUCCAAGAAAAGCUUGAACACCUUAACAAUAAAGUCACCUGUACCUGAAACCGACACAGGUAGGUUGGUAGAGUAUACCAAGGGGCGCGAGAGAACUCUCUCUAAGGAACUCGGCAAACUGGCCCCGUAACUUCGGAAGAAGGGGCGCCCUUUUUAUUUAACGAUAAAAAAGGGUCGCAGUGUCCAGGCUUAGUUGUAGGCCUCCUAUUAGGCAACUAAUGGGCUAACAUUGGGUGAAUUGCAUGAAAGCUAAGGCGUAACGCUAUGCUAACCUGCAGCGAAUUACAUCGACUGAUAUUAAUAUAAAAAUAGAUGUACACGUUCAACGACUAGCGAGUGAUGUAAAUCAGUCAAAUAAUCUCGCCACGAGCGCCCGACAUCUUGAUAUUUACUUAGACCCCCGCUUAAGUAAAUAUGGCCAAGAUGAUGACAUAGUCUGAGCAACGUGGAAACACGUUGGAGCCAAAGAUAAAAAACUUUGGCACAUUUCUGAAACAUGAAAUGUUCACGUUAAAAAAAAUAAAAACGUGAAAAACAUAACUGCAAGCAACUGUUUAUCAAAAACACAGGUCUCCGCAAAGUCGUAAGACGAUAUAUGGGGGCUGACGCCUGCCCAGUGCCGGAAGGUUAAGGAAGUUGGUUAUUGAGUAAUCAAGAAGCUGACGACUGAAGCCCCGGUGAACGGCGGCCGUAACUAUAACGGUUAAUUUCUAAUUACAUUCGCGGAUAAUUUACACUAAGUUAUCUAAUUAGGGCCGUUAAAAAAGAUGACCAUAUGCUGGAACAACCUCAAGGCUAUUAGGACCGAGUAGGUGACACGCUAAUAGUUAUAGGUCAAUCAGCAAGAAACUACUAUAAAAAACCAAAUAACUCAUGUCAAACUUUAUACUUAAACCGGGCGAAAAACUACCCCAAGACAAACUAGAAGAAUUAAAAAAAAUUAAUGAUGCUGUUAAAAAAACGAAAAAUUUCUCAAAAUACUUGAUUGACUUAAGAAAACUUUUUCAAAUUGACGAAGUCCAAGUAACUUCUGAAUCAAAACUCUUUUUAGCUGGUUUUUUAGAAGGUGAAGCUUCUCUAAAUAUUAGCACUAAAAAGCUCGCUACUUCUAAAUUUGGUUUGGUGGUUGAUCCUGAAUUCAAUGUGACUCAACAUGUCAAUGGGGUUAAAGUGCUUUAUUUAGCAUUAGAAGUAUUUAAAACAGGGCGUAUUCGUCAUAAAAGUGGUAGUAAUGCAACUUUAGUUUUAACUAUUGACAAUCGUCAAAGUUUGGAAGAAAAAGUAAUUCCUUUUUAUGAACAAUAUGUUGUUGCCUUCAGUUCUCCAGAAAAAGUCAAACGUGUAGCUAAUUUUAAAGCUUUGUUAGAAUUAUUUAAUAAUGACGCUCACCAAGAUUUAGAACAAUUGGUAAACAAAAUCCUACCAAUUUGGGAUCAAAUGCGUAAACAACAAGGACAAAGUAACGAAGGCUUUCCUAAUUUAGAAGCAGCUCAAGACUUUGCUCGUAAUUAUAAAAAAGGUAUAAAGUAGGUUCCUCAGAGACUACACGUCAUCCUAUUUAAACAAUUGGUUAAACCAUAUAACAGACAGUAUCUGUUGUUUAAAUCGAAGAUAUAGUCCGCUCUUACACAUAAUUGUAAGCUAACAUUUACCUUAUUGCCUAAGGUAGCGAAAUUCAUUGCCAAGUAAGUUUUGGCCUGCACGAAAGGCGUAAUGAUUUGAGCGCUGUCUCGGAGAGAGACUCGGUGAAAUAGACUUGUCCCGUGAAGAUGCGGACUACCUACACUUGGACAGAAAGACCCUAUGAAGCUUGACUGUAUCUUGGAAUUGGGUUCGGGCUUUUCUUGCGCAGCCUAGGUGGGAGGCUUUGAAGAUUUCCUUCCGGGGAAGUUGGAGCCAUCAGUGAGAGACCACUCUGGAAGAGCUAGAAUCCUAAUGGUGAUCUUUGAAUCAAGACACUUGACAGUUUCAGGUGGGCAGUUUAUCUGGGGCGGAUAUCUCCUACAGCGCAACGGAGAUGUGCAAAGGUUCUCUCAGUCUGGACGGAAAUCAGACAGCGAGUGUAAAGGCAAAAGAGAGCUUGACUGUAAGACCAACAAGUCGAGCAGGGGCGAAAGCCGGCCUUAGUGAUCCGACGGUGCCGUGUGGAAGGGCCGUCGCUCAACGGAUAAAAGUUACUCUAGGGAUAACAGGCUGAUCUUCCCCAAGAGUCCAUAUCGACGGGAAGGUUUGGCACCUCGAUGUCGGCUUAUCACAUCCUGGAGCGGCAGUACGUUCCAAGGGUUGGGCUGUUCGCCCAUUAAAGUGGUACAUGAGCUGGGUUCAAAACGUCGUAAACUGACUUGCGACCUUGUAAAGCGAUUUACAUGAUAAAUUUGCCUCAUUUCGGAGAACCCCUUUUUUUUACCAAACAUUUAAAAGGGCAACCCCGAGGGAAGUCGGGUUAUAUAUCAAAAACGUUAAAGGCCUAAAAAUAAUUAAAUUAAAAAGGCCUAAAAAAAACGUUAGUUUGAGUAUAUGCUACGCCCGCGGCAAAGCCGCGGGCUAUUCAUCAAAAUAAUAAUAAUAAUAACAAUAACAAAAUUAUGAGCAAUAAAAAUAAUAAAAAACAAAAAGUAGUUAAUAGUAAGAAAAAGUGGAAAGAUAUUAAAAUCACUAAAGAACUAAGAGAUAUUAUACAUGGUUAUAUAGCUUCGGAUGGUAAUGUAAGCUCUGAGGGAAUUUUGACAGUUGAUCAUGGUGAAAAACAAGAAAAAUUUGUUCAAUGGCUAUAUCAAAAAUUAGAAAAACUUCGAACUGAUAAUACUAUUUCAACAGUAACCAGAACAGACAAAAGAACAGGCAAAAAAACAAUAUCAAAACGUUUUAAUACAAGAACUCUUUUAAAAGGAUUUCAUAAAAUGUGGUACCAAAGUUAUAUCGAUGACAAUGGUAACACAAAGUAUAAAAAACGUCUUCCAAAUAAAAUCGAGGGGUUUUUUAGUAGUACUUUUUUAGCUGUUUGGUUUGCUGGAGAUGGGACCAAAAUUGUUGGUAGCCGAGGUGCAAAAUAUGAGGUUACGUCCUUAACGGUAGAUGAACGACAUCAAUUACAAAGACUUUUUAAAAAAAAAUUUGAUAUUGAUGCUGUUAUAAUUCGUUCAGGUGAAUCAAAAAAAGGCUCACCACAAUGGGCACUUUCAAUUAAUGCACCAGACUAUGAUAAAUUUAGAGCUUUAAUUACCAAAAUAGAUCUUAUUCCUACAAUUUUUCCAUAUAAAUUACAUAGAUUAGGUUCUUAAAUUUGUUUAUUUGUUUAUUUAGAAUUUUUAUGAAAAACCUUGACCCCGUAACGACUCUGUACUGGUAUAUACUAGUCAGUCUAAAUUAGAGAACUUUAGAUUGCGGAAACGGCAGGAUAACAAGUCUCCCUUUGAAAUUUGAAUUUUAAAGUAACAUUUGUUAUAACACGGCAACUCUUUAAUUUUUAUUUAUUAAAGAUGAUGGUAUAGUCUAACCCCUAAGUAAUUAGGGAAUUAUGUCAAAGCCUGAAUGAGCGGGGCUUUACCCCACCAAGGCCAAGACAACUUUCUAAACUUAAUCACUCGAUUAAGCAUGAAUUUAAUUGGAGACAGUUUGGUCCAUAUCCGGUGUAGGCGUUAGAGCAUUGAGAGGAGCCUUCAGUAGUACGAGAGGAUUCUGAAAGGUAAGCCAAUAGUGUAUCGGUUAUUUUUCCAAAAGUAAACGCCGAGUAGCCACGCUUAUAGGGAUAACUGCUGAAAGCAUCUAAGUAGGAAACCCACCUCAAGAUGAGUGCUCUCAUCAGGUCGCGGCAAGACAAGCCGUUAUAUAGGCAUUAGGUGUACAAUCAGUAAUGAUUUUAGCCGAGAUGUACUAAAGACCGAUUGAUUUUGAC
rnacentral:rRNA from 1 species